UACGGAGGGGACUAGCGUUGUUCGGAAAUACUGGGCGUAAAGCGAACGUAGGCGGCUUGGCAAGUCAGGGGUGAAAUCCCAGUGCUCAACACUGGAACUGCCUUUGAAACUGCCAGGCUUGAAUCCUGGAGAGGCGAGUGGAAUUCCGAGUGUAGAGGUGAAAUUCGUAGAUAUUCGGAAGAACACCAGUGGCGAAGGCGACUCGCUGGACAGGUAUUGACGCUGAGGUUCGAAAGCGUGGGGAGCAAACAGG
rnacentral:rRNA from 1 species